UACAGAGGGGGCAAGCGUUGCUCGGAAUCAUUGGGCGUAAAGCGCACGUAGGCGGCUCGUUAAGUCGGGUGUGAAAGCCCUAGGCUCAACCUAGGAAGUGCACUCGAAACUGGCGAGCUUGAAUAUGGAAGAGGGUCGCGGAAUUCCCGGUGUAGAGGUGAAAUUCGUAGAUAUCGGGAGGAACACCAGUGGCGAAGGCGGCGACCUGGGCCAAUAUUGACGCUGAGGUGCGAAAGCGUGGGGAGCAAACAGG
rnacentral:rRNA from 1 species